rnacentral:lncRNA from 1 species
UUUUUGCUGCGAGUUUGCAUGUGAUGACCACCCUGAGAGGAUGAAGGUGGCGGCAUAGUGGUUGUAGCGGCAGCGGGGGCCGCUGGCGGUGCCGCAAGAGGCGCUGGUGGCUUGGGCGUUGGCGCCGGCAGUGCGUCAGGUGAAAGAUCGCUAGUGGGAGCGGCGGCAGGUACUGGCGGAGGCAGCGGAAGGACUUCUAGGG